rnacentral:rRNA from 1 species
UCUCCUUGAAAAAGGGUGGUAAUGCCGGAUGUUCCACAUGAUCGCAUGUGAUUGUGGGAAAGAUUCUAUCGGCGUGGGAUGGGGUCGCGUCCUAUCAGCUUGUUGGUGAGGUAACGGCUCACCAAGGCUUCGACGGGUAGCCGGCCUGAGAGGGCGACCGGCCACAUUGGGACUGAGAUACGGCCCAGACUCCUACGGGAGGCAGCAGUGGGGAAUAUUGCACAAUGGGCGCAAGCCUGAUGCAGCGACGCCGCGUGAGGGAUGGAGGCCUUCGGGUUGUAAACCUCUUUUGUUUGGGAGCAAGCCUUCGGGUGAGUGUACCUUUCGAAUAAGCGCCGGCUAACUACGUGCCAGCAGCCGCGGUAAUACGUAGGGCGCAAGCGUUAUCCGGAUUUAUUGGGCGUAAAGGGCUCGUAGGCGGCUCGUCGCGUCCGGUGUGAAAGUCCAUCGCUUAACGGUGGAUCUGCGCCGGGUACGGGCGGGCUGGAGUGCGGUAGGGGAGACUGGAAUUCCCGGUGUAACGGUGGAAUGUGUAGAUAUCGGAAAGGAACACCA